rnacentral:lncRNA from 1 species
CCUUUGUCGAUAUGCUGCCAUUCGAACUUGAGCUUGCUGUCGGACUUCUGGAAGUAAAUCUAGAUCGACUCUCCGACAUUCGAAAUUGCUCGGCUCACUAUGUUGCUCAAUCCUUCUUGAAGGUAAUCCGAUCUCAAGUGGGAUCAUUGCUUCUAUUUCAUAGGCUAAAUUGAAUGGCGAUUCUCCUGUUAGUAUACGAGGAGUCGUUCGGUAUGCCCAU